rnacentral:rRNA from 1 species
GACGAACGCUGGCGGCGUGCUUAACACGUGCAAGUCGAACGCUGAAGCUCAGCUUUUGUUGGGUGGAUGAGUGGCGAACGGGUGAGUAACACGUGAGUAACCUGCCUCCUUCUUUGGGAUAACGCCCGGAAACGGGUGCUAAUACUGGAUAUUCACUGGUCUUCGCAUGGGGGUUGGUGGAAAGGGUUUUUCUGGUGGGGGAUGGGCUCGCGGCCUAUCAGCUUGUUGGUGGGGUGAUGGCCUACCAAGGCUUUGACGGGUAGCCGGCCUGAGAGGGUGACCGGUCACAUUGGGACUGAGAUACGGCCCAGACUACUACGGGAGGCAGCAGUGGGGAAUAUUGCACAAUGGGAGCAAGCCUGAUGCAGCGACGCCGCGUGAGGGAUGGAGGCCUUCGGGUUGUGAACCUCUGUCGCUCAUGGUCAAGCCGCAACAAUGGUUGUGGUGAGGGUAGUGGGUAAAGAAGCGCCGGCUAACUACGUG